rnacentral:tRNA from 1 species
GCCGAGGUGGCGGAACAGGCAGACGCGCCACGUUCAGGGCGUGGUGGAUAUUAGAUCCGUGAGGGUUCAAAUCCCUCCCUCGGCA